rnacentral:rRNA from 1 species
AGUGAACGCUGGCGGCAGGCCUAACACAUGCAAGUCGAACGGAUCCUUCGGGAUUAGUGGCGGACGGGUGAGUAACACGUGGGAACGUGCCCUUUGGUUCGGAACAACUCAGGGAAACUUGAGCUAAUACCGGAUGUGCCCUUCGGGGGAAAGAUUUAUCGCCAUUGGAGCGGCCCGCGUCUGAUUAGCUAGUUGGUGAGGUAAAGGCUCACCAAGGCGACGAUCAGUAGCUGGUCUGAGAGAAUGAUCAGCCACAUUGGGACUGAGACACAGCCCAAACUCCUACGGGAGGCAGCAGUGGGGAAUCUUGCGCAAUGGGCGAAAGCCUGACGCAGCCAUGCCGCGUGAAUGAUGAAGGUCUUAGGAUUGUAAAAUUCUUUCACCGGGGACGAUAAUGACGGUACCCGGAGAAGAAGCCCCGGCUAACUUCGUGCCAGCAGCCGCCGUAA